UAGCCCGCCAUAGGAUUCACGUAAGAGUAGGAACUGUGAUCUAGCAUCAUUCUAAAGUCUAUAAACACCUAAUAAAAUAGGUUGAAUCCGACCAAUUCUGUGCUUAAAUUAUUUUGAAGUUGACGAGGAUGCGGCUUCACCGAGAUUAUUAUCUACGUAAUGUUGUUGUUAUGCAUACCGAUUAGCUAUACCGGUCAAAUAUUGUCUUUCCAUUACUCGAACAAAUUUUGAAGGCCAUCGUUCCGGACGCGAGAGUUGAGAAACGGGCAUUAUCAUAAUAAAAACAGAAGUGCAUGGUCUGUAAUAGGUUUGUGUGCAGCUCGCAGCCGAAUUACUAAAA